GGAGGCUGAUUCUAGUGAUGGAUUCUUGAUGGUGAAGUCUGAUUUCAACCCUGAGGCUCCCAUAUUGCAACAAGUGAUCCUCAGUAAAACCUGCCCCAACAACAGAGUGGUGACAUUGCGAUGUACUGAUUGUGGAAGUGGGGUGAACUCCAGCAGGGCCUCCAGGGGCCAGCUGGCC